AACGAACGCUGGCGGCAUGCCUAACACAUGCAAGUCGAACGAGAUCUUCGGGUCUAGUGGCGCACGGGUGCGUAUCGCGUGGGAAUCUGCCCUUUGGUUCGGAAUAACAGUUGGAAACGACUGCUAAUACCGGAUGAUGACGAAAGUCCAUAGAUUUAUCGCCAGAGGAUGAGCCCGCGUAGGAUUAGCUAGUUGGUGUGGUAAAGGCGCACCAAGGCGACGAUCCUUAGCUGGUCUGAGAGGAUGAUCAGCCACACUGGGACUGAGACACGGCCCAGACUCCUACGGGAGGCAGCAGUGGGGAAUAUUGGACAAUGGGCGAAAGCCUGAUCCAGCAAUGCCGCGUGAGUGGUGAAGGCCUUAGGGUUGUAAAGCUCUUCUACCCGGGAUGAUAAUGACAGUACCGGGAGAAUAAGCUCCGGCUAACUCCGUGCCAGCAGCCGCCGUAA
rnacentral:rRNA from 1 species